GGAGUCUGGGCCGUGUCUCAGUCCCAAUGUGGCCGAUCAACCUCUCAGUUCGGCUACUGAUCGUAGAUUUGGUGGGCCGUUACCCCGCCAACUGUCUAAUCAGGCGCGAGCUCAUCUUACAGCGAAAUUCCUUUAACACAAAUUUCAUGCGAAAAAUGUGCAUCAUAGGGUAUUAUCGACCAUUUCUAAUCGCUAUCCCCCUCUGUAAGGCAGAUUGCUCACGUGUUACUCACCCGUCCGCCACUAAGUUUUUGUUAAUCCUUCCGAAAAAUUCAUAACUAAACUUCGUUCGACUUGCAUGUGUUAGGCGCGCCGCCAGCGUUCGUCCUCGAGCCACGGAGUCAAACUACU
rnacentral:rRNA from 1 species